GAAGAGCUGCUGCUUCGCCGGAGACAGGGACCAGUAUCUGCUGUCGGGGUCGGAUGACUUUAACCUCUACCUGUGGCGGAUACCAGAGGACACAGAACUGGAACCCCGGGUAGUGACGGCUCACAUGGUGCUGAAGGGGCACCGCUCCAUCGUGAACCAGGUGCGCUUCAACCCCGCCACUCACCUGGUGGUGUCCUCAGGUGUGGAGAAGGUCAUCAAGGUGAGU